rnacentral:rRNA from 1 species
UCCUACGGGGGGCGGCAGUGGGGAAUUUUGGACAAUGGGCGCAAGCCUGAUCCAGCCAUGCCGCGUGCAGGAUGAAGGCCUUCGGGUUGUAAACUGCUUUUGUACGGAACGAAAAGGUUCUUUCUAAUAAAGAGAGCUCAUGACGGUACUGUAAGAAUAAGCACCGGCUAACUACGUGCCAGCAGCCGCGGUAAUACGUAGGGUGCAAGCGUUAAUCGGAAUUACUGGGCGUAAAGCGUGCGCAGGCGGUUAUGUAAGACAGUUGUGAAAUCCCCGGGCUCAACCUGGGAACUGCAUUUGUGACUGCAUAGCUAGAGUACGGUAGAGGGGGAUGGAAUUCCGCGUGUAGCAGUGAAAUGCGUAGAUAUGCGGAGGAACACCGAUGGCGAAGGCAAUCCCCUGGACCUGUACUGACGCUCAUGCACGAAAGCGUGGGGAGCAAACAGGAUUAGAUACCCUGGUAGUCCACGCCUUAAACGAUGUCAAAUGGUUGGUUGGUCUUCACUGACCCAGCAACGAACACAANGCGUGAANCNNCCGNCUNCGCCC